rnacentral:rRNA from 1 species
GAUGAACGCUGGCGGCGUGCCUAAUACAUGCAAGUCGAGCGAACAGACGAGGAGCUUGCUCCUCUGACGUUAGCGGCGGACGGGUGAGUAACACGUGGAUAACCUACCUAUAAGACUGGGAUAACUUCGGGAAACCGGAGCUAAUACCGGAUAAUAUAUUGAACCGCAUGGUUCAAUAGUGAAAGACGGUUUUGCUGUCACUUAUAGAUGGAUCCGCGCCGUAUUAGCUAGUUGGUAAGGUAACGGCUUACCAAGGCAACGAUGCGUAGCCGAACGGAGAGGGUGAUCGGCCACACUGGAACUGGAACACGGUCCAGACUCCUACGGGAGGCAGCAGUAGGGAAUCUUCCGCAGUGGGCGAAAGCCUGACGGAGCAACGCCGCGUGAGUGAUGAAGGUCUUCGGAUCGUAAAACUCUGUUAUUAGGGAAGAACAAAUGUGUAAGUAACUAUGCACGUCUUGACGGUACCUAAUCAGAAAGCCACGGCUAACUACGUG